UGUAGUAGCGGGGAAAGUCUGUAGUUCAGGGGUAGAGCAUCUGCUUUGCAUGCAGAAGGUCUCAGGUUCAAGAUCAGAAAUUCUUCCUGUAUGCCACAA